UAAUAUACAUAGACGCCGCAUUGGCUUCUGGUCGCGAGAAAUACGGCCGCCAUCUUGGAGCGGUCGUACUCGUAGUUGCGUAGCAGCAGAAGAUACAGGAUGCCACAGCACUGUGCUGCUUAUUUCUGCGCUAAUCGGCGGACCAUCGCCAGCAGGGCUCGGGGGAUAACCUUUCACAAGUCAGAUUUAAUAUUACCGUCCUAUUUGUUGUGUUUUGUGAAAAGAAUAUUACCAGAGAGUAGAGAAGGAGCAAGUAUCUUACUGUAGUGAAAUCGCAGUCAGCUAGCUUGGCUAUGUUUACUUCCCCGGCUGUUUUUCACCUGAUUAUGAACUGAGACUUGAUAAGUCAUAUUCCAUAACACUUAGAUUCAAACGGACACAAUAAUGUUAUUGUAGAAAUAUAACCUAUCACUGGUAUAACAUUGGCCACACAACUUUCUUGUCAUGUGGAAUUAACGCAUCUUAAAGUAGCUUGCUAUGUAGUGAACUAGCUGCUGUGUUUGUGAUACUUAGCUUGCUGCAUUUCACUGUGUAAUAGCUUUUGUGUAGUGAAGCUUUAUUCAUGGCAGAGUAACUGAUCGCUUAGCUGAGUUCAAUGUGAAAGCAACUUGCCAACACAGUGUAUUAUUCACAUGUAAUUUAACAAAAGUAAGAUACCUCUCGUAUCUCAUACCCAUCCCACUUACUUAAAAUAAAGGCAACAGAACAUCUGACCUUAGAAUGGUUUGCAAACAAUCUUAUUUACAAUUUCAGCAACUUUGGUUCAUCAUCAUCAAUAUUCAUCAACAUAGGCGUUUUGUUUAAGAAAGGUUAUAAGAAAUGUGAAGAAAGAAAAUAAGCUUGAACUUCUUUGUGAAAUGUUUUUGUGUAGACUCUCCCAAAUCUUCCGUUUUCAUUUUGAAGGUUUCCAAAGGACAAACAUGUGAGGAAGAAGUGGGAAGUGGCUUUUAGGAGAGAUGGAUUUACAGCAAGUGAUUUGCUGUGAACACUUCAAGCAGAGUGAUUUUGAUAAGACGGGUCAGAUUGUCCGACUCUGGGAUGGUGUUAAUUCACUUUACUGCUUUGAAUGAACAACAUCACAUGGUGCUUUCCUAGGGUGUCUUGUUUCGCCAUGAUCAGAUCAAUAAAAGAUCUUUCUUUUGCAGGUCCUUGUCAGUCAUCGGAUUUGUCAUAAAUCUCGACACGUUGAUGCUGAUGAUUCCUGAACUGCUCCAAGUUCAGCAGUAUGUGCUCACCUACAGGUCAGAGCAUCAGGGGGCUGGAAUAACAAUCCAACGACACGCCAGUUCCAGGCAAUCUUCCGCCGUCUGAUGGUUCGGUGUGGUGUUUCACCUGGUGAGACAGGCAAUGUAGCAGCCCAAGACGACACUGUGUCCCUGUCUGCUGUGGAGAUGUCCUCUGCUGGAACUGCAGAAGAACACCCAUCUCCAUUCGCCAACAUUUCAGCCCUCGUGUGUGACCACAGUCUCCCCACUCGGUUUGGUGGUCUGGUGGAAAAUGCUCUGGUCUACAUAGCAGGGUUUGUAAUCCGGCAGAUUUUUCGAAAGCUGUCCUGUGAGGUGUGCCGUGCGAGCUUGGUCAGAGAUGCUGUACCAGCUUCAUUUGACAAGAGCUACCACCUUCUAGCCCUGAAAAACCACGGCGGCCUAGUAAUUCCAUCACAAGGCACAGUAAAGGUUUGAUUUAUCUUAUUUUUUAAAAAUAUUUUAAUCUUUGUAUAUUACGGUUGCUUUGUUUUGUCUGUUAUGUAAAGGGUUAUGUAAAAAAUCUCAAUGGAUCAGAUCAGAGUUCUUUUACAGUCAAACAUCUUUCUAAAGCAGAUGAAGAGGAGCAGCUGUAGUUUGCUGUGCUGCUGAACUUUACUGGAUUACACUGACAGGUGUACAUCCAAUUUGUAUUCAUAUUGGAUGGAAGAAACACAUAAAACGUUUCUGAGGUGAACAUUUAAUUCAGGGCUGUGGUUAAAAUACACUGUAUUAGCUUUAUAAUGGUUUCCUCUUCAUAAGAGAGGUUGGAUACAGUAACAAUUAAUAGUUAAUAUUUAGGUUAUGUCAAUAUUAUAUAUUUAAUAAGUUAAUAUUUUAUUGUAUAGGACUACAUUCCAAAUACACAGAACCGUUUGUCUUCCUGUUUCUCAAACAUCAAGAUGCUGAUAAUCAGUGUGGUGGUCCUCGUCCAGGUUAAAUGCACAAACAUUACUAUGAAUUAAAUUGAAGAUGCCCCUGAA